AACUUCUUUGUCAAUCUCUAGGGGCUGCUGGAACGAAGACGAGUCAAGCCGAAUGGUAGUUGAUAGUCUCGGCUGCCCGACCCAAGCUAGCGAGCUGCCUUUCCCAAACUUUUCACAUUAGAACUUCAUACACCUAUGCAUCACACUGCACAACCAAAUUAUACAGCAAAUAAAACAUCCAUCCACCCGCCGAUCGAACUGCAUGCCCUGCACACGAUCAUCAGCGGAAAUCCGGCCACUGAAGUUCUGCAAAAAGUCAAAAACUAAAAGUUCAGGAGAGGCCAAGCUGGAGCAGGAAGGGAUCGAUACGAUUUUAAACCUCAAGUUGAAACAACUCACGGAUUAGUAUGAGCAUUUAGCAAGUCGUGGGAGCACCGGGGAAAUAGCAGAAAAAUCCUGCAAACAAACCGGACGACACGCAUGUCGCAGGGGACUACACCGAUGUGCGGGCACUGCAUGCUCUAGCCGGACGGACUGCAGGGACGCCGACGGACUGCAAGGAUGCCGACGGACUGCACCAACGCGCCCGCCGUCCUGCACGCGCACAUGACAAAAACUGCUUGGGAGUGCUUCACCUUGUGAAUGGUAGAUGGGCCGGUGAAGGAGCUCCUCGUCGUCUUCUCCCCUGCGAAUGGACGGUGCGGGGCAGGGUGAGUACCCAGGCAAACUUCAUGGCGGCAUGGAUCCCAGCGGAUCUGGUGGUUGUCGGGGUAGAGGACAGUGUCGCCCUCGGGAAGCCGGCGAAGCAGGGACUGGACGGUGGAGGCCACCUCCACCUGCACCGGGCGAC
rnacentral:lncRNA from 1 species